UUUGUAACCACUUUACACCACUUUCUAGACUAAUUGUACCACCUUUAACCGAAAAUUCAGAGUAAAAAGAUGACUAGGUGCAUUUUUACUCAACUUAGGUGUAAUUUAUACAGUACUUUAGGCUUUUCUUGCAACUAUGGUGUAAUUUCAUGUUCUUAUGUUUUUACACCUCAGCCUUUUGGUAGUAAAAUUAUUACCCAAGGGUAGUUUGAAUCUCAUGCGGAUAAUAAAUGGCUAGUUGGUAGCAUAAAUUUACACUAGCGUGGCUCAGCUGAUUACCGCAAAACCUAAAUGGAGUAAAUUUACACCGUGGGCUUGAUGAGCGAUGGAUUGUUAGGUGUGGUUUUAUGCUACAUGGUUAUUUCACUCUUCAAGGAUAUAUUUUUACAGCUUGGAGCGUUAUUUUACAACAGUGUUCCACGUGGCCAUUUUAACCGCCAUUUUGAAUCGCCAUUUGCAUGGUGAACUGUGAAGCGUGGGGUGGCGUGGAUGAAGCGCGGCAGUUCCCUAUACACCGUGCAUACUGCAUAUAUCGUGAAGCGAGGCCUCCGGUGCGGCGAAGCAUGCAGUGUCUGCUAGACGACCAAAACUGCGGCAAGCAGUGAACAACAAAGUCGUGGCACGACCUGACCCCUGAUUAUGGGGACUAGUGAGGAGCCAAAUGAGUUAAAGGAAAGAGUCGUCAAGAACAUCCAGCAAGUGUGUGACGAACUGGUGGCGCUACUCGCCUACGGACGCUGGGCGAUCUCAAGAACGAGCAGAGCUCCGUGAGUGUUCACUUCUUCAGUCGUCCCGCCUCAGCGUUCAGGGAGCACUGGGCCACUUUAAGCUGUCAAAGUCAAAGGUCGGUGAAGUUGCCACAAUCCUUGCAGCCCAUGCCCCCAUGUUUUGUCUUCCGUUCCGUGGACCAUGCAA
rnacentral:lncRNA from 1 species